AUUGAACGCUGGCGGCAGGCCUAACACAUGCAAGUCGAGCGGAGCGGCGGACGGGUGAGUAAUGUAUGGGGAUCUGCCCGAUAGAGGGGGAUAACUACUGGACACGGUGGCUAAUACCGCAUACUAUCAGAUGAGCCUAGUUCGGAUUAGCUAGUUGGUGGGGUAAAGGCCUACCAAGGCGACGAUCCGUAACUGGUCUGAGAGGAUUAUCAGCCACACUUGAACUGAGACACGGCCCAUACUCCUACGGUAGGCAGCAGUGGGGAAUAUUGGACAAUGGGCGAAAGCCUUAUCCAGCCAUGCCGCGUGUGUGAAGAAGGUCUUCGGAUUGUAAAGCACUUUAAGUUGGGAGGCGUUACCAACAGAAUAAGCACCGGCUAACUUCGUGCCAGCCGCCGCGGUAAUAC
rnacentral:rRNA from 1 species